ACUCCUGCGGGAGGCAGCAGUGGGGAAUAUUGGACAAUGGGCGCAAGCCUGAUCCAGCCAUGCCGCGUGAGUGAUGAAGGCCCUAGGGUUGUAAAGCUCUUUCACCGGUGAAGAUAAUGACGGUAACCGGAGAAGAAGCCCCGGCUAACUUCGUGCCAGCAGCCGCGGUAAUACGAAGGGGGCUAGCGUUGUUCGGAUUUACUGGGCGUAAAGCGCACGUAGGCGGACUAUUAAGUCAGGGGUGAAAUCCCGGGGCUCAACCCCGGAACUGCCUUUGAUACUGGUAGUCUUGAGUUCGAGAGAGGUGAGUGGAAUUCCGAGUGUAGAGGUGAAAUUCGUAGAUAUUCGGAGGAACACCAGUGGCGAAGGCGGCUCACUGGCUCGAUACUGACGCUGAGGUGCGAAAGCGUGGGGAGCAAACAGGAUUAGAUACCCGGGUAGUCCCAUGA
rnacentral:rRNA from 1 species